rnacentral:misc_RNA from 1 species
GAUGAAGAAACGCAGUGAAAUGCGAUAAGUAGUGUGAAUUGCAGAAUUCAGUGAAUCAUCGAAUCUUUGAACGCACAUUGCGCCCUUUGGUAUUCCUUAGGGCAUGCCUGUUCGAGCGUCAUUUAAACCUUCAAGCUAAGCUUGGUGUUGGGUGACUGUCCGCUUCACGGCGGACUCGCCUCAAAAUUAUUGGCGGCCGGUACAUUGGCUUCGAGCGCAGCAGAAACGCGAACUCGGGCCCGUCGUAUUGGCUCCCAGAAGCUAUCUUCACAAUUUUGACCUCGGAUCAGGUAGGGAUACCCGCUGAACUUAAGCAUAUCAAUAAGCGGAGGA